CAGCACCUCAAGUGGUCAGGAUGAUUAUUGGGCCUAAAGCAUCCGUAGCCGGCGCUGUAAGUUCUCGGUUAAAUCUGUACGCUCAACGUACAGGCUGCCGGGAAUACUGCAGCGCUAGGGAGUGGGAGAGGUAGACGGUACUCGGUAGGAAGGGGUAAAAUCCUUUGAUCUAUUGAUGACCACCUGUGGCGAAGGCGGUCUACCAGAACACGUCCGACGGUGAGGGAUGAAAGCUGGGGGAGCAAACCGGAUUAGAUACCCGUGUAGUCC
rnacentral:rRNA from 1 species